CCUACGGGAGGCAGCAGUGGGGAAUUUUCCGCAAUGGGCGAAAGCCUGACGGAGCAAUACCGCGUGAGGGAAGAAUGCCUGUGGGUUGUAAACCUCUUUUCUCAAGGAAGAAGUUCUGACGGUACUUGAGGAAUAAGCAUCGGCUAACUCCGUGCCAGCAGCCGCGGUAAUACGGAGGAUGCAAGCGUUGUCCGGAAUCACUGGGCGUAAAGCGUCUGUAGGUGGCCUAGAAAGUCUGCUGUUAAAUCUCAGGGCUCAACCCUGAAUAUGCAGUGGAAACUCCUAAGCUAGAGUAUGGUAGGGGUAGAGGGAAUUCCCAGUGUAGCGGUGAAAUGCGUAGAUAUUGGGAAGAACACCAGUGGCGAAAGCGCUCUACUGGGCCAUUACUGACACUCAGAGACGAAAGCUAGGGGAGCGAAUGGGAUUAGAUACCCCAGUAGUCCUAGCCGUAAACGAUGGAUACUAGAUGUUGCGCGUAUCGAUCCGUGCAGUAUCGUAGCUAACGCGUUAAGUAUCCCGCCUGGGGAGUAUGCUCGCAAGAGUGAAACUCAAAUGAAUUGACGG
rnacentral:rRNA from 1 species